CAGCCGCCGCGGUAAAACGAAGGGGGCUAGCGUUGCUCGGAAUUACUGGGCGUAAAGGGAGCGUAGGCGGAUCGUUUAGUCAGGGGUGAAAUCCCGGGGCUCAACCUCGGAACUGCCUUUGAUACUGGCGAUCUUGAGUAUGGGAGAGGUGUGUGGAACUCCGAGUGUAGAGGUGAAAUUCGUAGAUAUUCGGAAGAACACCAGUGGCGAAGGCGACACACUGGCCCAUUACUGACGCUGAGGCUCGAAAGCGUGGGGAGCAAACAGGAUUAGAUACCCGCGUAGUCCCUGUCUCUUAUAA
rnacentral:rRNA from 1 species